GCAUAUCAAUAAGCGGAGGAAAAGAAACCAACAGGGAUUGCCCCAGUAACGGCGAGUGAAGCGGCAACAGCUCAAAUUUGAAAUCUGGCUCUCGGGCCCGAGUUGUAAUUUGUAGAGGAUGCUUUUGGUGAGGUGCCUUCCGAGUUCCCUGGAACGGGACGCCAUAGAGGGUGAGAGCCCCGUCUGGUUGGACACCGAUCCUCUGUAAAGCUCCUUCGACGAGUCGAGUAGUUUGGGAAUGCUGCUCUAAAUGGGAGGUAUAUGUCUUCUAAAGCUAAAUACCGGCCAGAGACCGAUAGCGCACAAGUAGAGUGAUCGAAAGAUGAAAAGAACUUUGAAAAGAGAGUUAAAAAGUACGUGAAAUUGUUGAAAGGGAAGCGCUUGUGACCAGACUUGGGCUUGGUUGAUCAUCCGGGGUUCUCCCCUGGUGCACUCUUCCGGCUCAGGCCAGCAUCAGUUCGCCCUGGGGGAUAAAGGCUUCGGGAAUGUGGCUCUCUCCGAGGAGUGUUAUAGCCCGCUGCGUAAUACCCUGUGGCGGACUGAGGUUCGCGCAUUCGCAAGGAUGCUGG
rnacentral:rRNA from 1 species